GACGUAGGGAGCGAGCGUUGUCCGGAUUCAUUGGGCGUAAAGCGCGCGUAGGCGGUUUGGUAAGUCGGAUGUGAAAUCCCGAGGCUCAACCUCGUGACUGCAUCCGAUACUGCCCGACUAGAGGUAGGUAGGGGAGAUCGGAAUUCCUAGUGUAGCGGUGGAAUGCGUAGAUAUUAGGAAGAACACCAGUGGCGAAGGCGACUUUCUGGCCCGAUACUGACGCUGAGGUGCGAAAGCGUGGGGAGCAAACAGG
rnacentral:rRNA from 1 species